UGCAACUCAACUUUAGACAGUUCAGUUGAAGAUUUUGGUGUGUUGUGCUAGUAGCGGCUAAUGUAGAUUCAAGCCUGUUGCCUGCAGCAGAGAUGAGCAGCGGGCUACAGAGGUCUGGUUAGCUCACCUCGUUCUUACUCCACACCUCUAGAUUUUUUUCAUUUUCAAACUUGUAGUCUUUAGUCCCAACUGACACUGACUCAAGUGACUUCACUUGAUGUAAUUUA